CCUACCCCUGCACAUCCCUACAUCCCAAACCUUACCGGUUACACACCACCGCAAUCAUCGAGCCACAGUUCAUCAAAAACCUCGUCAUGGUUAUUCGCAAAUGUCAUCAUUAAAUAUCAUCGAUGAGUGAGCUCGACUUCGAAGAAGGACGAAAAAGAAUAAAAACGUCAGCUAACGAUCAUCCGUUCUCUUUCAGGUGAACGCCUUUGCCACUAACGGACGUAUAUUUUCAAUAGUGCAAUUUCUUAAAAGUCUCCAUCUUUAUUCUCGGUAGUGUGAACGCGUGCCGUAGGGAACCGGCGUGGCCAGUCGAAUUAGCCCCGGUUAAGAAAAGUGCAAGUGCGUUCCUGUCCGACCAAGCAUUCGACGGAAGGAACACCGGCGUAGGGUGUAGUGCCUGAAAUCAAGUGAGGAAGAUCGAAGCGCGUCGUUCCGUGAUUCUCGCCCGUCGGAACACGAUCCUAGCACUGUCGGAGGACCAUCCCAACGGAAGAACAACGCAAGUAAUUGAGUGACUUUCGACAAAAAUCGACCUGGUGUAUGACGCACCGUAGUUGCGGUGGAGGACUCCGUGUGACGCUUGUAAUAUCCACACAACAUCGAAUGCCAACGAAAGGAUUCCGGGCAAGUGGCCGACCGGUCGACGACGAAACAGACCGGACGACGCUGUAUGAAAUUUGGACGAAAGCUACUCGGCCCAAGCCUGAAGAAAUCCGAGGUAUGGACCUUCGAAGAUCUGCCCCAACCGACGGUUGUCCCGGUUGUCUUUGUGCGCUUUGUUUGACGGAGGAGACCUUGCACGACAAUAUGGAUAUUUAAAGUGUGAACGCGUGCCGUAGGGAACCGGCGUGGCCAGUCGAAUUAGCCCCGGUUAAGAAAAGUGCAAGUGCGUUCCUGUCCGACCAAGCAUUCGACGGAAGGAACACCGGCGUAGGGUGUAGUGCCUGAAAUCAAGUGAGGAAGAUCGAAGCGCGUCGUUCCGUGAUUCUCGCCCGUCGGAACACGAUCCUAGCACUGUCGGAGGACCAUCCCAACGGAAGAACAACGCAAGUAAUUGAGUGACUUUCGACAAAAAUCGACCUGGUGUAUGACGCACCGUAGUUGCGGUGGAGGACUCCGUGUGACGCUUGUAAUAUCCACACAACAUCGAAUGCCAACGAAAGGAUUCCGGGCAAGUGGCCGACCGGUCGACGACGAAACAGACCGGACGACGCUGUAUGAAAUUUGGACGAAAGCUACUCGGCCCAAGCCUGAAGAAAUCCGAGGUAUGGACCUUCGAAGAUCUGCCCCAACCGACGGUUGUCCCGGUUGUCUUUGUGCGCUUUGUUUGACGGAGGAGACCUUGCACGACAAUAUGGAUAUUUAAAGGUGUGUAACAAUUUAUCCUAUUUCUAUCCUUUAUGUUCAAAUAAUGCUUGAAUGACGGAAAAAUUAAAAUGAAACUUUGAACCAUAUUUGAAUUUGCUCAAGUGUUAUCAAUUUACAAGUUAGGCCCUGAUAUCAAACUUAUUUUCAUAUUAAUUGCUCCACCUUGGAUACAACUUUUAAGGGAAGUAUUUCCGCUCAUCCGCCCAAUUUCUCCCGAAGAGCUUCCGCAAAAAAAAAAACGACCCUGAGGUCAUGACAAGGGCGAGACGAUAGUCCCCAGAAAAAGU